rnacentral:snoRNA from 1 species
UGUGGCCCCUAUCAAAGCUGCAGUGGCUUCCGCGCAGCAGCGGUGGUCAGGAAGGAGCCGGCGGGACUGUUUUUGGACGUUGCUGUCCUGCUUGCUAUAACUGACCUGCAACAUUUGGGGAAAAGAGACAG